UGUGAAUCAAUUAAAUCUUCUAAUACCAUAAUUCCCAAAAGUCUAUAUACAUUCAAAACAUACUUCAGUAACCUCACACCCCAAACCACUGGAUUGGAAUAAGCAUCAAAGUUUACAUAUCAAGUUUAAUCUAGUAACAUUGUAUCUAAUAACAUAAAAGGAGCAGAUCAUACAUUGAGAAAGAAUUAAAUUAAUGCAGAUUUGAAUGAAUUCAAACUAUGAAAAGAUGAAACUAAUCAAACACAUAAGCCAAAGCUUCCAAUUCAAACUACAACAACAAAUAUUUCAUGAGCCAUGCCAUAUGAGGUUCAGCAAAUACCUGGUUACAGCAAAUGAACAAAGAAAAAUCUGAGGUUAAGAAGGAGCAGCAGCAGUAACCUAGUAAAAAUGGAACCAAACAGCAAUGAUUUCAGCCAAAACCAAGCAGCAAAACAGCUUUCAAACCAUUCUUCGAUUUCCAAAUAAGUCAGAGAUCUUUUAAAGGUUACAAAUUCAGGAGUUUGAAACCCAAACCAAAACCAAAUUGAACAAAGAAAUGCAGAAAAUCCAGUGUUGUUCUUCAGAGUUUUCCAAAACCAGCCGUUUCCUUUUUAGUCUUUUUUAGUCUCUAAAAAUCUCCCUUGUGAAUGAAGAAAGAAUGCCUUUAUAGGCAAGCUUUAGGGCAACAAUAAUAAAAUCAGUUUUUGCACUUUAAUCUCUUGGGAAUUUUCAUUUUUGUUGUUAUAUCCUUAGCUUAAAAAUCAGUUUUCAAAUUAGCCACAAUCCCACCUUCUAGGCAGCUUCCUAUUCAGUUACAUAAGAUUCCCCCACCUAAAUUUUCUAAUCUAACCCUUAGAACCCCUGUUUUUACCCCCUUCCUACCUCAUGGGUCAAGUUGACCCAAUAGCUUAAACCAAAAUAAACGGGCUGCUCUUUGCAAAUGGGUCAGAAACGACCCAAAGCCCAAACAACAAAAUCAUCCAACUAAAUUUUGUAAGCAUAUGGGAAACAGAAGAACACAAACACUGAAAUGAUUUCAACAAUUAAAAAUCUGAACUAAGUGACUGAUUAAUAACACAAAUAGGCAUGGAGUUAACUAGGUUAUUAAAUCGAAACGACCUAACUAAAUUAAACUAUUAUACUAAAACAAAGGCAAAAUCAGGGAUUUAAGCACGACACUAAUAAGAACUAAACAAACAAAGAAUCAGAGAAAAGCUUUAAAGAUGUGGAAAAAAAAAAGCAAAGGGAACAAACGAACAGAAAUCAAUCUAGGCUCAGAAACUUGGUCGAGUUUUCAGCCAAAGUAAAAAAAAUCUAACCAAAGAAAGGGAGAAGAAAUGAAGGGAAUAAGAGGUGCAAUAACACAAAAAUGUACAAAAAAAUAAAGGGAACUCACCGACUAGACUCGAAAUCGAUACUGACAUUAUGAGUUAAUCCAAAAUAAUGCCAAUCGCUUGUUCUUGGUCAAGAACAAGCGAACAUCAUUAUUUUGUGAUAAAACAGCCUUGAACAUUCAGGAAACUCGGAGAAAUAGCUUUGCAUGCAUAGAUUUGAUUUUGGGCUUUUCGGGCUUCACAUUUCGAUUCAAGAUUCGAUGAGUUUGGAAAGAUUCGAGGGAAACCGGUUAAAGAUUGGGGAGAGGGAGCCAUGGGGGUUUCAUGGUGUAGAUUUGGAGUCGAUUUGAGGUGGCGCCGCCACCAGCGGUGAUGGAGAAUUCAGGGGCGGCGCUAGGGUUCUUUGAGAUGAGGGAGACGAAGUAAGAGGGGUGUUUG
rnacentral:lncRNA from 1 species